rnacentral:tRNA from 1 species
GGUGGCUCAGUGGUAGAGUGCUUGCCUUGCAUGCAUGAGGCCCCCUGGGUUCGAUUCCCCAGCACCA